GGGCUCACAAGGAGGGAUGGAUCGACUGUCGGAAGUUGAUCAAGAUAGAGCAUCUGGAAAUAGAUCUUGCUUUCUUGGAUUAUAAGGAGAAAGAGAAUGAAGAAACUCCGACCCCCGAGGUCCCUGCUCCCAAGAAAGAGAAUGCUGUUGAGCCGGUUCUUGCAGUCGCUCUUUCUUCUUCUAGUGCUGACGUUGGUCU
rnacentral:lncRNA from 1 species